UACGUAGGGUGCGAACGUUGUCCGGAAUUAUUGGGCGUAAAGGGCUCGUAGGCGGUUUGUCGCGUCGGGAGUGAAAACCUUGGGCUUAACUCAGGGCUUGCUUUCGAUACGGGCAGACUAGAGGUAUGCAGGGGAGAACGGAAUUCCUGGUGUAGCGGUGAAAUGCGCAGAUAUCAGGAGGAACACCGGUGGCGAAGGCGGUUCUCUGGGCAUGAUCUGACGCUGAGGAGCGAAAGUGUGGGGAGCGAACAGG
rnacentral:rRNA from 1 species